GGGGAUAUCUUAGGUUUGACAGCUGGAUUUAAUUAAACGAUGUGCCAUUAAAGUUGGAAUACUUCAAAAAUUCCAAAACCAUAAAUGCAGAAUCAACUUCUACAACUGCCACAGCGUUUGUACGUUUCUCCGACUACUGUUCAAGUAAAAUUGAUCAAGUUGUAGCUAGCGUAACAGCUAACUGUGGCGUACCCGAUCGACUCUCCUUACAAACUGCCUAGGCACAACCUAAGAGUGCUAAUCCCACCAGAUUGUCCUAACCGACAUCUGCGAGAAUCGACUAAUCAGGUACUGAGCGUUAUAUGACCCUGUACUUGGAGUUAUAUUCGCUUUAGUCACAAACCAACCACAAGUAACUUGAUAUUAUUUACUGUUUAGUAAUAUUUCGGAAUCCAAACAGUAGUUGUUACUGAGCUUGCGUCAAUCAUUAUCAGUAUUAACUCAAAAACAAUUUAUUGACUAAGUUUUUGGCCUGACAAAAGCAUCGAUUGGUUAACCAGUUGGACGAGGGUGCGAAUCCCUCUAUCUCCACCA
rnacentral:tmRNA from 1 species